CCUACGGUCGGCAGCAGUGGGGAAUAUUGGUCACUGGGCGCAAGCCUGACCCAGCAACGCCGCGUGAAGGACGAAGGCCCUCGGGUUGUAAACUUCUUUUAUUCGGGACGAAACAAAUGACGGUACCGAAUGAAUAAGCCACGGCUAACUACGUGCCAGCAGCCGCGGUAAUGCGUAGGGGGCCAGCGUUAUCCGGAUUUACUGGGUGUAACGGGCGUGUAGGCGGGAGAGCAAAUCAGACGGGAAAUUCCAGGGCGGAACCCUAGAAGUGCGGUUGAAACUGUUCUUCUUGAGGGAGGGAGAGGCAGGCGGAAUGCAGUGUGUAGCGGUGAAAGGCGUAGAUAUACGGAGGAACACCAGUGGCGAAGGCGGCCUGCUGGAAAUUAACUGACGCUGAGGCGCGAAAGCGUGGGGAGCAAACAGGAUUAGAUACCCGAGUAGUC
rnacentral:rRNA from 1 species